AUGUGCCCCAACCGCUGGAAACCAAGUCGCGCAGGGCAGGGUUCCUCGGAGCGGCGGAAGCCCGGACGGCCAGCCCAGGCCCCGGCCCCGGCCCCCGCCCCGGCCCCAGCCCCCGCCCCGGAGAGGCCCCAUAACCCCUCCGCUUCUGCGGCCCCCAUCUGCCCAGCGCGCCGCCUCCCUGGGCUCCGAGGGCCCCCGACACAAAAGGGGAGCGCGGGUCCCGGGGGCGGCGGGCGCACCCUGAGCGCUGCAGGAGCUAAAGCCCGGCCACAAGCCCGCCCGCGCCGGCAGCCCGGGCGCGGGGUCCACAGGGCGCCCCCUCCCAGCUCCAGCACCGCGCCUCCCCGCCCUCCUCGGGGCUGCGGCGCGGCGAAUGGCGCGAGGGGCGAGGGGCGAGGGGCGCCAGCAGGCCCGGGGCGGGGGCGAGCCCGACCCCUGCGCGGCGAGGGGCUCGCGACCGGCCGAGCAGGAACAAUAGCGGCGCCCGCGGGUCGCCCGAGCCGCCGAGCCGCCCGCUUGCGCCUCGCUCCCCGGCUCCUCCAAGUUUGCGCGCCGCGAGCAGCCGGGGCGGGCGCGAGGCGGGCCGGACAGGUGGGACCGGAUGCCGCCCGGCGCCCCGGGUCGCCCCCGGGUCUUUUCCGGGUCGCCCCCAGGUGGCCCCCGGCCGCGCCGCCCCGCGGGUCAUUCAUUCCCGCCCCCCCCAUCCUCGGCGCCCGCGGCGGACAGGGGCGCGGCGGCGGGACCCCCCGGCACAGGCGGCGGCGCGCGCGGGUCCCCGCUCCGGAGCCUCCCGGGCCUCGGCGCGCCGCACUCACCCCAUCGGGCGGCGGCUCCCGGGCCCGCGGGCUCCGCUCCACCCGCCGCUUCCCCAGGAAAACGCGGCGGCCGGGCUCGCUUCCUGCUCGGCUUCCUGCGCCGCGGUCCCUCCUCCUCCCCCGCUGCGGGGGGCCGUGGGCGCCGCGGCUCCCGGGCUGCGCCGGCGGGCGGGGGCGNNNNNNNNNNNNNNNNNNNNNNNNNNNNNNNNNNNNNNNNACCACGUGGCCGCGCGGCGCCGGCCCCCGCCGACCCGGGUCCCGCGGGCCGCGGGGGGAGAUGCUCGCCCCGCCCCGCCCCGCCCCGCCCCGCCCCCGCGGCCCCGAACACCGCGGGUGGGCACCGGGCCCCGCCGACCCGGCCCGUCCUCCUCCUCGCCGUCCCCCGAGGCCAGUGGCGAACCGCGGCGCUCCGGCCCCGGGGUCAGGGCGGGCGAGAUCCCGAACGCUCUACGUUUCUGGGCAACUUCCAAGCUCGCUCGUGGUCGUGGGGGCUCUCAGAGUCCCCGGUCCGAGCCAGUCGGGUCGGCUCAGUCCUCCAGGAUUCUGGGACGGAAAGUAA
rnacentral:lncRNA from 12 species